UCCCGGACAAAUGUCUGGGUUGCCCGCCCCUAGAGCAGGCCCUGAUUAUGACCAUUUCCAAUAGUUAUUUGGGUCUUAUCUGAAAAAAUAAGUGUUACAUUUUUCUACAGACCAGUUUUGAUAUGUUUUGGCCCAUUGGAGGCAUUUUUCUUCUAUGUUGCUUCAUCAUGUAUGGCCUUGUUUUAUCUUACAGAAACAAAAACGCAUGUUCUUUAGUCUGUUUCACAGAGUUUUGUUGGAAACAUCAAACCCUUCUUUCUUCCACUCUAUAUUGAUGACUCAACCUUUUUUCAUUUUCAUGGCCACUCUUGAGUCUUGCUCCUUUUACAUGUAUGCCCACUUCUCAGCACAUUUGUAAGACCACCUGAUGUUUGGAAGGUUUUCCGUGACCUCCUGAUUGUUCCAUGAUUGUACCCUAUUAUUGUUGGGACUUCAUUUUGUGUUUUUCAGUCUUUCAACAGUUGGAUCAUCAACUCCCACUUCUCAAUUUUCAGCUCUUUGUUAGGUGCCAUUCUGUCUAAUUGGAUGCUUUUUCAUUUACCAACUUCAAUUUAUAGCUGAAUCCAGCUGUCAAACAUUUUGGUAUGCAAAUUGGAAUGAACAGUGUUCCAAUCAGAUCAUAAAUAUCUUUUCAUUAUGGAAAAAUUUUUCCCAUUAUUUUCAUUAUGCAAUAUUUUUUCUGAAGUGAGGUUUUCUUUAAAUAUUCAUUCUUUGUU
rnacentral:lncRNA from 1 species